rnacentral:rRNA from 1 species
ACGAAGGGUGCUAGCGUUGUUCGGACUUACUGGGCGUAAAGGGCGUGUAGGCGGCGUUUCAAGACAGGGGUGAAAUCCCGGGGCUCAACCUCGGCAUUGCCUUUGUGACUGAAGUGCUUGAGUACGAGAGAGGUUGGCGGAAUACCCAGUGUAGAGGUGAAAUUCGUAGAUAUUGGGUAGAACACCGGUGGCGAAGGCGGCCAACUGGCUCGGGACUGACGCUGAGGCGCGAAAGCGUGGGGAGCAAACAG